GACGAACGCUGGCGGCGCGCUUAACACAUGCAAGUCGAACGGAAAGGCCUGCUUUCCCUUGUGGAUUGCGGGUACUCGAGUGGCGAACGGGUGAGUAACACGUGAGUGAUCUGCCCCCAACUUGGGUAUAAGCCUGGGAAACUGGGUCUAAUUCCCGAUAGGACUGCAGGGUGGUGCCUGUGGUGGAAAACGAUUUUCUAGUGGUUGGGGAUGAGCUCGCGGCCUAUCAGCUUGUUGGUGGGGUAAUGGCCUACCAAGGCGGCGACGGGUAGCCGGCCUGGGAGGGUGGACGGCCACAUUGGGACUGAGAUACGGCCCAGACUCCUACGGGAGGCAGCAGUGGGGAAUAUUGCACAAGGGGCGGAAGCCUGAUGCAGCGACGCCGCGUGGGGGAUGACGGCCUUCGGGUUGUAAACUCCUUUCGACCGCGAGGAAGCCACCUGGUUGGAAGGGUGGUGACGGUAGUGGUAGAAGAAGCACCGGCUAACUACGUG
rnacentral:rRNA from 1 species